ACUUCUGUGGGUCAGAAGGAAGGAGAAAGUGUGGUUGAACAGAAGGUGGGUCAGGUAGCUCUUAGUUAAGGGGCAACUUGGUGGGUUGUGAAAGCCUCCUGGGGACUUUUGUGGUGUCCCAUUGUUUGACUGUCUUCUUGUGGCUGGGAAAACACCUCCCACCCCUGCCUCCUGCUGAGACCUCCUGAUGCUGCACUCAGCUAUUUUUGGUCCUUUCUGGAUGCUCUCUCUGGAUCACUCUUCCUGGUCCACUGAGGCCAUGGGGAACAUAAGAUUUUGUUCCACAACCCUGUUGCCUAGAGUGCUUUAGUUACCCUGGAUUUCUUCUUUCCUCCUCUUCCACCUUUUUCUUAAAAAAGAAAAUAAAUUAUACACGUGCAAGUCAUUUAUCUGCAACAGGGUUGUCGCGCACCGCAUGCCUGGGGUCAGAAGAGGGCUUCAGGUUCCCAACAGUCGGGGUUACAGAUGGUUGUAAGCAGCUGUGUGGGUGCUGGGAACUGAACCAGGGUCCUCUGUAAGAGUGGCCAGUGCUCUUAACCACUAAGCCACCUUUCUAGUCCCCAGCCUUGACUUCUAUGGGCAAGAAGUAGGCACCAGAUUGAUUUUGUCCUGUAUACCCUUAUAUUUCUGAGGAUUCAUGUCAGGCUCAUCCACAGCUCUAACAUACCCUGCUGUGGUAGCUGCCUGUGACAUUCCUCAUUCACCCAGGGAGGGAGAUCUCCUCUUAAGUCAACCCUAACCUUCGGAUGCUUCUCUUCCCACCCUUCCCUGCACUUACCGGCCACCAACUUUCUGCCUUGAUCACUCUUACCAAUUCCCCUUUUGCCUUUUUUAUUUCUUCUUAAUCAAUUGGUCGAUUAAUUAAUAGGAUCUUGCUGUGUAGACCCUGCUGCCUUCAAACUCUUUCUCAGGUUUUUUUUCCUUCUGGUGGUACUGGGGAUUAAGUUUGGGACUUCACACAUGUGCGAUAGGCACUCUAAUCAGUGAGUACAAGGCACGCACCACCGAGCCAGGGCUGCCUACUUUUUUUCUUUUUAACUACACAUGGAUGUGAGCUUCUGGGGGUGGGUGGAGCACUUGCCUCCUGUUUCCCUCUGCUUUGAGCUUUAGCUGAAAUUCUGCUCAGUAAGAAAACCCAUACCUCAUCCAGCUAUAGCUGGCUGUAGAGGUCAGCAUCAUCAGAGGAAGUCACUUCAGUGUAACAGGAGCUGGACACUUGAGACACGAGUUUUUCCUUAAUCGACUGGCCACCAUUCUGCUGCUUCCCACAACCCAACCAUUCCUUCACUGUAAGGGCUUUAGGGAAGGAGGCACCGUGUGAUACAUAGUAUUAAUAGUUUAUUUAAAACUCUGAUGGGAAACCUAAGGUAGCUCAGAGGUUAAGAGCACUGGCUCCUCUUCCAGAGGACCUGGGUUCAAUUCCCAACACCCACAUGGCAGCUCACAACUGUCUGUAACUACGUGCAAUAAAAAUAAGUAAAUC
rnacentral:lncRNA from 1 species